AUUGAACGCUGGCGGCAGGCCUAACACAUGCAAGUCGAACGGUAACAGGAAGCAGCUUGCUGCUUUGCUGACGAGUGGCGGACGGGUGAGUAAUGUCUGGGAAACUGCCCGAUGGAGGGGGAUAACUACUGGAAACGGUAGCUAAUACCGCAUAACGUCGCAAGACCAAAGAGGGGGACCUUAGGGCCUCUUGCCAUCGGAUGUGCCCAGAUGGGAUUAGCUAGUAGGUGGGGUAACGGCUCACCUAGGCGACGAUCCCUAGCUGGUCUGAGAGGAUGACCAGCCACACUGGAACUGAGACACGGUCCAGACUCCUACGGGAGGCAGCAGUGGGAAAUAUUGCACAAUGGGCGCAAGCCUGAUGCAGCCAUGCCGCGUGUAUGAAGAAGGCCUUCGGGUUGUAAAGUACUUUCAGCGGGGAGGAAGGGAGUAAAGUUAAUACCUUUGCUCAUUGACGUUACCCGCAGAAGAAGCACCGGCUAACUCCGUG
rnacentral:rRNA from 1 species